rnacentral:rRNA from 1 species
CCUACGGGAGGCAGCAGUGAGGAAUAUUGGUCAAUGGGCGCGAGCCUGAUCCAGCCAAGUAGCGUGAAUGAUGACUGCCCUACGGUUUGUAAACUUCUUUUAUAAAGGAAUAAAGUGAGGCACGUGUGCCUUUUUGCAUGUACUUUAUGAAUAAGGAUCGGCUAACUCCGUGCCAGCAGCCGCGGUAAUACGGAGGAUCCGAUCGUUAUCCGGAUUUAUUUGGUUUAAAGGGAACGUAGAUGGGUUGUUAAGUCAGUUGUGAAAGUUUGGGGCUCAACCGUAAAAUUGCAAUUGAUACUGGCAGUCUUGAGUACAGUUGAGGUAGGCGGAAUUCGUGGUGUAGCGGUGAAAUGCUUAGAGAUCACGAAGAACUCCGAUUGCGAAGGCAGCUUACUAAACUGACACUGACAUUGAUGCUCGAAAGUGUGGGUAGCAAACAGGAUUAGAUACCCCUGUAGUC